ACUAUCGCGAGGUAGCGGGGAGAGGAAGGGAUAGCGAAAUCGUGGCUCUACGAACAGAAACGUGAUAUUAAGGCGUAUAUAGCGGAUGAGGGGGCUGAAAAAGCCAUCAUCAAGUUACUAGAAUACCUUAAUGAUGGCUAUGAGUGGAUUGUGGACAUUGACCUUGAGAAAUUCUUCG
rfam:Streptococcus sp. FF10 genome assembly, contig: CONTIG000004